CACAAAUUUUUCUCUUCUUUUUCUCUUUUUCUCAUCUUUUUCUCUAAUUUUUCUUGUUCUUCUAUGCAACUUUGUCAACCCUCAACUCCUUACAACUCUCCAAAAAGAAUGUCAACCGAACCAACAUCUAUUGAGGGUAACGUUACACCUCCUACUUCGAUAGAUUCUGAAAAUUUGGGAGUUGGAGCUUCAAGCCAAACAAAGGGGACUACCUGGAAAAGAAAAGUCACUCCUCAAAGGUCAGAAAUUUGGUCUCACUUCACUAAGAUUAUUAAUAGUGAGGAUGCAAGUAAGGUUAAAUGAAAUUAUUGUCAAAAGGAAUUUUGUUGUGAUAUGAAAAGAAAUGUUACAGGGUCAUUGAAAUAUCAUAUUGGUUCAUGUAAGAAAAAUCCUAGUAAUGUUGUUGACACUAGUCAAGGACAACUAGUUUUACCUAGAAAGGGAGUUGAAUGGGGGGAAGGGAAUCUUUCAACUUGGAGAUUUGAUCAAGAAGCAUGUAGGAAAGGGUUAGCACAAAUGAUUGUGAUUGAUGAAUUACCUUUCAAGUUUGUAGAAAGUAAAGGUUUUAAGAAAUUUAUAUUUGUGGCAUAUCCUAGGUUUCAUAUUCAUUCACGAACUAAUAUGAUUAGGGAUGUUUACCAUUUGUAUUUAGAUGAAAGGGUCAAGAUAAAACAACUUUUGAGAAGUUCUUGUUCUAGAAUUUGCUUAACUACUGACACAUGGACUGCUUUGCAAAGAGUUAAUUAUUUGUGUAUCACUGCUCACUUUAUUGAUAACGAUUGGAAAUUGAAUAAAAAGAUUUUAAAUUUUUUUUCCAAUUUCUAGUCAUAAAGGUGAGUCCAUUGGGAUGGUGAUUGAGAAAUGCUUGUUGAAUUGGGGGAUUGAUAAGUUGUUUACUAUUACUGUUCAUAAUGCAAGUUCAAAUGAUGUUGCUAUUGGUUAUUUGAGAAAGAAAUUUAACCCUCGAGGGGGUUUAGUUCAAAAUGGUAAAUAUCUUCAUAUGAGAUGCAUGGCAUACAUUCUGAAUUUGAUUGUUGUUGAAGGCUUAAAGGAAAUGAAUAAAUCUAUUGAACGUGUUAGGGGGGCUGUUAGAUAUGUGAGACAAUCUCCAGCUAGAUUACAAAAUUUUAAGGAGUGUGUUGUGGUGGAAAAGAUAGAGUGCAAGAAGAUGUUGUGUCUUGAUGUUUGUACUAGGUGGAACUUGACCUACUUAAUGUUAAACACUGCUUAGAACUUUGAGAGAGCUUUUGAGAUAUUUGAAAAGUAAGAUACAAACUUUAGGGCUGAACUUGAAAGGGGAGAAGGUUGGCCUAGUGUGGAUGAUUGGGAUAAUGUUAGAAACUUAAGGGAUUUCUUGGAACACUUUUAUGAAGUCACUUUGCGUAUAACUGGCACUUCAUAUGUCACGUCCAAUAAUUUUUUUGAUGACCUUUCUGAAAUUGAUAUUCUUUUAUGAGAUGCUUAGUUAAAUAGUAAUGUUGAUUUCAAUGUUAUGGCCAUCAAGAUGAAAGAGAAGUAUGAUAAGUAUUGGGGUGAUUUUGAUAAGAUGAAUUUGCUUAUGUUUGUUGCUUGUGUUUUAGAUCCUAGACAAAAACUAAAGUAUCUUGAAUUUGCAUUUAGUGAAAUGUCUAGUUCUGAAAAAGCUUGUGAAGUGAUGCAAAAAUUGAAGGAAUCUUUGUAUGAAAUUGUUUGAUAAGUAUAAGCCUCCACUUCAUAGUACUUGUAGCCAAUCGAGUGUGCCAACAUAUGUUUCUCUCGGUGAACCACAACAAAAAAUGAAAAGGCGAAUGCAAGCUUUGUAUAAAAAGCGUGAGUUGGAAAUUUGUGGUGAGGAUAAAACAUCUGAGUUGGAUAAAUAUCUAGCUGAGGCUAAUGAGAAAUUUGUCGAAGAUUUUGCUAUUUUAUUGUGGUGGAAAGUGAACAGCCCUAGAUUUCUCACUCUUUCAAAAAUGGCCAGAGAUGUGUUAGCUAUAUCGGUUUCUACGGUUGCUUCAGAGUCUGCAUUUACCACCGGGGGACGUGUGCUUGAUCAAUAUAUGAGUUCUUUAACUCCUAAAAUUGUACAAGCUCUUGUGUGUACUCAAGAUUGGAUUCGAAAAUCAUCAUCACAAGAAGACAUCAAAAAGAUCGAAAAACAAAUCCAAGAGUUUGACAAGAUUGAAAAUGACUUUUCUUGGAAUGCAUCAGAGCCUACCCUAAAUUCAUGAGCUUUCAU